GGUAUAAUCAGUGGUAGAGGAUCUUGUCUUUGAAUUUGAAAAACUGUUUAGUGUGAAGAUAGAUGAGUCCCUCCAUUUGCUGAAAGACUCGGGAGCCACGCUCCAUUUGCUUGGCAACUACUUGCUUGUGCUGAAGUGCAAAUCCAUCCACUGUUGAGGCAGAGGCUAACCCUGCCUGUGUUGCAUCAUGAGCGGCUGUAUGAGCCACUUUAAAAGCAUCAGAGGAGGAGAGCCUAGGUGCAAUUGUCCUUCAUGCUCUAGCCAACAUUGGCUCCCAAACUGGCAUUUUGAGAGGACUCUUGAGAGACAUGCACCAUCCAACCUGUUGGAUCAAGACUGCUCCUCUGGUUCUCCUCCCUUCCCUACCCUUUUGGAAGGUACAGGUUCCUGGCCUUGUUAUCAGGGUCUAUCACCUGAGGAAGCAUUUCCUGUGCCCCACCCUCCAUCAGAAGUGUGGUAUAGGAAAGAAGAGGAGAGACAAAAGCUAUGUUGA
rnacentral:lncRNA from 1 species